rnacentral:misc_RNA from 1 species
CUAAGGAGCACACCAGUAUGGUGCCCACCAACAGAACCCAUGUGUGGUUCGGGUGGGUUGCUCAAGGGUGGAACAUCACAUACUUCGCUCGCCCAACCAGCCGGGCUGGGGUCAAUGCCCCGGGCACGGUGGGUGGGUGGUCGGAUAGAACAGACACGCUGUUGGGUCCUGGAACCACAAGUGGUUUCACCAGGCACCGACCCAACCCAGAGGCAGCAGCAGUGCUGGUGCUGGCUGGGGUGGUGAUUGGUAGUGGUUUGAGAAUCGUAUAGUGGACGCGAGCAUCAAGCACCAGCCUUUGUGCUGGUGUGUAGUGUGAUUUUCUUUGAGUCAAAAAAUCUUAGUGUGAUAUUUUCGCGCACACUGAUACCAACCUCUAGGGGUGGGUGUGAGUGUGUAAGAGCGCAU